GGGCGCGUAGCUCAGUCGGUAGAGCAGCUGACUCUUAAUCAGCGGGUCCACAGUUCGAUCCUGUGCGCGCCCACCA
rnacentral:tRNA from 1 species